GUGAAAUUAGCGCUGUGGAACCACCCGAUCCCAUCCCGAACUCGGAAGUGAAACGCAGCUGCGCCGAUGGUAGUGUGGCUCAAGCCAUGCGAGAGUAGGUCAUCGCCAGGG
rnacentral:rRNA from 1 species